GAUGCAGGUGAGGGCAUCACAGAUGUGAAAACAUUGGAACGAUACAGAGAUCAUCAGGGCCCCUGCACCAGAUGACUUUCACCUUCUUGAAGCACUCCGUAUUUGG
rnacentral:snRNA from 1 species